CAAACUGCAGGUAUAAAUUCAAAGAGAACCCAGAAUUAAAUAAAAGGUGGACCAGACAACAGGCAAAACACUUGGAUAAAUCUUGGUGAGGCUUUGACAUGUUAUGCAUGUUUUGGGAAAGGCUGUUCUGGUAGACAAGAGCUAUGCGGCUCUCUUUUGCAUAAUCCUGUCUGCGCCAUCAUCGAUGCCCCUACCUUUUAUUUGAAAGGUUGCAUUAAUGGGGACAUUUGUAGGCAGCAACAGCAGGCUCCAAAUACCAAAGCUACCUGCUGUGGUUACGACUUCUGCAACCGUUAAGAGCGACAUGAUUCAUGGAGAUAUUUUUCAAAAGAUAAAAUCUAGUACACAGUUUUUGGACGUAUAAUUUAGAAUGUGUAGCAUGCAUUAG